rnacentral:sRNA from 12 species
AUCACCGCCGGGCGGAACGGAUCGGGAGGGUUGGGGAACCCGUUGAUCGAUCCGGGCCGAGACUGGUGCAGGUCUUAGGGAGCCUGCUCCAGGCGCUCCGGCGAAGGAG